UUUUGGUGUCAUUAAUCAGCUCAGGGAGGUUCCCCUGUUCAAACACCUUUUAACAACGAGAUAUAACUUCCCUCCCAAUAACACUCCAAAAUCUCUUAAGAAAGCUGGGUUCAUCCCAUCAGGUCCAAGCGACUUGUUGAGAUGCAUUUGAAAAGUCGUCACUUUAAUUUCUUCAGCACUAAGAGGGGCUACCAGUUGCUUAUUAGCCUAUGUUCUGAAUUUGUUAGUCACUUGACUGACCACGUCUUCAUAUUCCCCAUCUGAGGCCUUGAAGAGUUAUGUGAAAUUUGGAUUAUAUGCUCUUGC
rnacentral:lncRNA from 1 species